UACGGAGGGUGCAAGCGUUGCUCGGAAUCACUGGGCGUAAAGCGCACGUAGGCGGACUCUUAAGUCGGUGGUGAAAUCCUGGAGCUCAACUCCAGAACUGCCUUCGAUACUGAGAGUCUCGAGUCCGGGAGAGGUGAGUGGAACUGCGAGUGUAGAGGUGAAAUUCGUAGAUAUUCGCAAGAACACCAGUGGCGAAGGCGGCUCACUGGCCCGGUACUGACGCUGAGGUGCGAAAGCGUGGGGAGCGAACAGG
rnacentral:rRNA from 1 species